rnacentral:sRNA from 1 species
CCACACCCGCAGGCCGGAGUUGGGUGUUUUGGGCUUCCCUGCUCUGAGCGACUCUUCACAGUCACAGGAUUUGGAAUUCGGCAGGGGCAGUACUGCUUUCCUUCCACAGGGUUGAGAUGAUUUUUCUAGGGAUUGUUGUACCUUAAUUUACUUUGGGCCAAAUUGAUAGCUUUGAUGAUAUCAAAUGACAAUUGCAUAGUAAUGAAGGGAACCAUGGGCCGGUGGUGUGUAGAGGAGGCAUCCACGCUGCUCAAGGGUGGCACAAGACAGGAAGACGCCUUAGAAAAUGGGCAAAGACCAUGAACGCGGAACUCACAGGGUUCACCAGGUUAUGAAGAGGUGUGUAGCCCCACUAAUCCUCAGAGAAAUGCCGGGGACGAUGGCACCCACUACAGUGGCAGUGCUAGGAGGAACAGAUGGGGCCACAGCAGGAGGGCUGCUGUUAUUACAGGAAGUUCCCGGUCACAGGGCAGAGGGGGACUGGGUCCUUUCUAAGAUUCCAGUGCCCUGUGGCUUUUAGACUAGCCAUCUGAUGCUAUACCCACUGGUUUACAUAGCAUAAACCAGCAUAGUCAAACCAAAGCCCGUGGGCCAGUGGACUGUCUUUGUAAGUAAAGUUUUAUUGGAACACAGUCCUGCCUGUUUGUUUAUGAAAUGUCCCUCGGUGCUCCCAUGCCGCAGUGGCAGGCAGUGUGGGUGAUCUCAGCUGAGACUGGCCACAAAGCUUGAAAUGCCUCCUGCCUAGCCCCUUCUAGAAAACACUGGCUGAGCCCUGGUAUAAACAAUCAAUAUUUGUCUUAAGUAAGAGAAGAAAUAUAUGACAUAAAAUCCAAAUUCAUCCGUGAUUUAAACUCUUCAUGUCACUUUGGAAAAAUGCAUUUUGGAAGGAUUGUCCUGUGUGUUGCAACAAGGUCUCCGGUGAACUGAUCUUAGUGAUUCUUGCUGUUUUGAAACGCACAUGUUUCUGUUCUAGGACCCUCACUACGUCCAGCAGGCGCUGACCAACGUCUUGCUGAUGGACGCCGUCGUCGGCACACUGCAGUCACCAGGCGCCAUCUAUGCUGCCUCCAAGUUAUCCUACUUUGAUAAGACGAGUAACGAAAUGCCCAUGACGCUUCCGGAGACAACCCUGGAAACACUGAAGCAUAAAAUCAACCCCUCGGCGGGAGAGGCGUUCCCACAAGCGGUGGAUGUGCUGCUCUACACUCCGGGGCAUCUUGACCCAGCCGAGAAAGUUGAAGAUGCUCACCCCAAGUUAUGGUGUGCUCUGAGCGAGGGCAACGUGACCGUGUUCGA